CUACGGGGCGCUGCAGUGAGGAAUAUUGCACAAUGGGGGGAACCCUGAUGCAGCAACGCCGCGUGGAGGAUGACGCAUUUCGGUGUGUAAACUCCUUUUAUAUGUCAAGAAAAUGACGGUAGCAUAUGAAUAAGCACCGGCUAACUCCGUGCCAGCAGCCGCGGUAAUACGGGAGGGUGCAAGCGUUACUCGGAAUCACUGGGCGUAAAGGACGCGUAGGCGGGAUAUUAAGUCAGGUGUGAAAUCCUACAGCUUAACUGUAGAACUGCACUUGAAACUGGUAACCUAGAGUAUGGGAGGGGGAGAUGGAAUUAGUGGUGUAGGGGUAAAAUCCGUAGAUAUCACUAGGAAUACCUAAAGCGAAGGCGAUCUCCUGGAACAUAACUGACGCUAAGGCGUGAAAGCGUGGGGAGCAAACAGGAUUAGAUACCCGGGUAGUC
rnacentral:rRNA from 1 species